GCCUUCGUGGUGUAACGGUAGCACACUUAGUAUUCGAGAGAUUCAGGUUCGAGUCCCGGCGAAGGCA
rnacentral:tRNA from 1 species